rnacentral:rRNA from 1 species
AAAGGUACUCCGGGGAUAACAGGCUGAUACCGCCCAAGAGUUCAUAUCGACGGCGGUGUUUGGCACCUCGAUGUCGGCUCAUCACAUCCUGGGGCUGAAGUAGGUCCCAAGGGUAUGGCUGUUCGCCAUUUAAAGUGGUACGCGAGCUGGGUUUAGAACGUCGUGAGACAGUUCGGUCCCUAUCUGCCGUGGGCGCUGGAGAAUUGAGGGGGGCUGCUCCUAGUACGAGAGGACCGGAGUGGACGCAUCACUGGUGUUCGGGUUGUCAUGCCAAUGGCACUGCCCGGUAGCUAAAUGCGGAAGAGAUAAGUGCUGAAAAGCAUCUAAGCACGAAACUUGCCCCGAGAUGAGUUCUCCCUGAGACUUUAAGUCUCCUGAAGGAACGUUAAAGACGAUGACGUUGAUAGGCCGGGUGUGUAAGCGCAGCGAUGCGUUGAGCUAACCGGUACUAAUGAACCGUGAGGCUUAACCUUACAACGCCGAAG